AUUGAACGCUGGCGGCAUGCCUAACACAUGCAAGUCGAGCGAGAAAGCUCCUUCGGGAGUUAGUAAAGCGGCGAACGGGUGAGCAACACGUGAGAAUCUACCCUUUAGUGAAGAAUACCCUCGAGAAAUCGAGGCUAAUACUGCAUGCGUCCCUUCGGGGAGAAAGAUGGCCUCUUUGCUAUCGCUAAAGGAUGAGCUUGCGUACUAUUAGCUAGUUGGCGGGGUAAAGGCCCACCAAGGCAAUGAUGGUUAACCGGCCUGAGAGGGUGUACGGUCACACUGGAACUUAGACACGGUCCAGACUCCUACGGGAGGCAGCAGUGAGGAAUCUUGCGCAAUGGGCGAAAGCCUGACGCAGCGACGCCGCGUGGAGGAUGACGGUUUUCGGAUUGUAAACUCCUGUUAAGCGGGAAGAAAGCCUUGUUUCUAAUACAAGCAAGGUAUGACGGUACCGCUAGAGAAAGCACCGGCUAACUUCGUGCCAGCAGCCGCGGUAAAGUGACG
rnacentral:rRNA from 1 species